AAGUUACAUUAAAUAAAUAUGUAAAAAAUAUUUUGCAGUCGGCCUAAAAAUCAAACAUUCUACAGUUUCAUUAACCUGUUUAAUAGUUUUGUUGUAAAUCUCAUCAAAUAUUGUUCAUAAAUUCGGAUUUUAAACGGGAAACCCAACGGUAACACUAAAGUUCGUAUACGAAUUUUAACAUGCAAAUGAAGACUAUAAUGAACUCGUGUAUGCGCUACGUCACAAUUUUAUAGUUGCUAUCCGGAACACAGCAAAUGUGAUAUUUUCUUGUGCAAACUCACUUUAACCGUUUAAGCUUCACGGUGCACUAAACCUGGGGUUCAGUAAAAGUAAUCAUCUCGUAAAAAGAUUAAAUUUGUAUGAAAACAUCCGUUAUAAUGCGGAAAUAUACCGUUAAAUUAGGACUGCCACUUAUAGUCAUGUUUGUUGAUUUAAUAUUGAUGUACGGAUGAUCCGAAGGCGGAGUUUCUCAUGCAAACAGAAAUUGUAAUUCCCAUUUCGCCACAAUGAGGUUACCUAUUUUUAUGCUAAUAAAACUAAUUUUGGUUGUUUGGACACCAAAAUAAGACGUGGAGUCGAUAUAAAACCCAAUUUAUUAAUGAAAUGUCGCUAUUUAGUUUUUUAUGAAAUUUAUUAAAUGUAACUUUAACUCUUUGUAAAGAAAAAUUAUCUACAGUGAAACUGUAUGAUUAUUCUGACAGUAAAGGUUUAUAUUCCUUAUAACUAGACCUAUUUCUUUACACACCUGUUUUCAACUUGGCUCAUUAACAUUCAAUUUGGGAAAGAUUGAAAUAUUUAAAAGAUUGGACAAUGCCUUCAAUGAAAGAAUUCAAUGAGGAGGCCGUGGCUGAAUAUGAGAAAAGACGUCUUCGAAACCAGGUAAAUAAAUGUGCUGACAAUGUGUAAAAUUCUUUCAUUUUAUUUUGGUUAAACGUGGAAAACAAACUUCAAUAUUCAAUUUUUACAGACAUAAUACAUUUCAGUCGGUAAGUCUUCCUAACAUCACGCUUAAGUCAGAAUUUGAUCCUAAUAAUGUCUUCUUUUUUUCCUUUUUUUUGUAAAUGUUUGGUAAAAUAGUUUGCCAGCUAUUAUGUGCACAUUCUGACUGAUAUUUUGCUAUUCAGAGAAUCACAUUUGCAAGGUUGUUUUAACGUCUGAGAAA